AGUGAACGCUGGCGGUAGGCCUAACACAUGCAAGUCGAACGGCAGCACAGUAAGAGCUUGCUCUUACGGGUGGCGAGUGGCGGACGGGUGAGGAAUACAUCGGAAUCUACUUUUUCGUGGGGGAUAACGUAGGGAAACUUACGCUAAUACCGCAUACGACCUACGGGUGAAAGCAGGGGAUCUUCGGACCUUGCGCGAUUGAAUGAGCCGAUGUCGGAUUAGCUAGUUGGCUGGGUAAAGGCCCACCAAGGCGACGAUCCGUAGCUGGUCUGAGAGGAUGAUCAGCCACACUGGAACUGAGACACGGUCCAGACUCCUACGGGAGGCAGCAGUGGGGAAUAUUGGGCAAUGGGCGCAAGCCUGAUCCAGCCAUACCGCGUGGGUGAAGAAGGCCUUCGGGUUGUGAAGCCCUUUUGUUGGGAAAGAAAAGCAGCAGGUUAAUACCCCGCUGUUCUGACGGUACCCAAAGAAUAAGCACCGGCUAACUUCGUG
rnacentral:rRNA from 1 species